rnacentral:rRNA from 1 species
UGCUAAAAAUUUGCAAUAACCCGAAGGCGCAAUGAAAGUGAAAGUCGGUAUUGCCUGGCCGACUGAGGCGGGAUCCGUCCGGGAAUCGCUGCAGCUCUCUGUCAAGGGGGGCUGUGGGAGCCCGGCGGCGCACCGCCGGCCCGUCUCGACCGCUUCUUGUCGGCGAGGCGGAGCAAGAGCGCACACGUUGGGACCCGAAAGAUGGUGAACUAUGCUCGGGCAGGACGAAGCCAGAGGAAACUCUGGUGGAGGUCCGUAGCGAUUCUGACGUGCAAAUCGAUCGUCGGACCUGAGUAUAGGGGCGAAAGACUAAUCGAACCGUCUAGUAGCUGGUUCCCUCCGAAGUUUCCCUCAGGAUAGCUGGCACUCGGUGAGGAACGCAGUCUCAUCCGGUAAAGCGAAUGAUUAGAGGCCUUGGGGCCGAAUCGACCUCAACCUAUUCUCAAACUUUCAAUGGGUGAGAAGUCCGGCUUGCCUGACUGAAGCCCGGACUAAAUCUGAUCCGACGGGUGUCUCUUUCUGUGCCGCUGUCGGGGAGCAAUCCUUCGGCGUGUGGCACGGGUGCCCCGAUCGGUACGGAUGCGAGUGCCCAGUGGGCCAAUUUUGGU